UAAGACAGAGGUGGCAAGCGUUGUUCGGAAUUACUGGGCUUAAAGGGCGCGUAGGCGGUAAGAUAAGUCUGUGGUGAAAUCCUAUGGCUUAACCAUAGAAUUGCCAUGGAAACUGUUUUACUUGAGUCAGCGAGGGGAUGGUGGAAUUCCUGGUGUAGCAGUGAAAUGCGUAGAUAUCCGGAGGAAGGCCGGUGGCGAAGGCGGCCAUCUGGCGCUGAACUGACGCUGAGGCGCGAAAGCGUGGGUAGCAAACAGGAUUAGAUACCCUGGUAGUCCACGCCCUAAACGGUGGGCAUUAGGUGUAGGGCUCGUAAGGGUUCUGUGCCGUAGGGAAACCAUUAAAUGCCCCGCCUGGGGAGUACGGCCGCAAGGUUAAAACUUAAAGGAAUUGACGG
rnacentral:rRNA from 1 species